UUUGAGGAAAAGUUCGGAAAAGAUGUAGUGAUAUUCAUGUUAUGAUUUCAUGAGGUUAUAUUGAUUAAAGGUCCAAAGAAUUUUCCUUAGAAGGAUUUAUUUAUAAGAUAAUCAAGCUAAAUAAGAAAGUCAAUCUGAAACUUUCGCUGAUUCUGGCAGAAGUAUUACAAUGGUUUCUAGUAGCUUUUAGGGAAAGAGUGAAAAAAUGUGAAGCUGAGAUAAAGUUCUCAAAAUUAUUGCUAAGAACAAGAUGUAUGUAGAAUCAAGCGAGAACAAGUAAAAAGGAAAAACAAAAAAAUGAAAAUGUAAUGAAUAGCGGAUCUAAAAAGGAAUCAUAGGAGAGAAAAUACUAUAAAUUUGGAGAUUUAUAUUAUGUCCACAAGGUUAUAACUCUCAAAAAAUAAACAAAAAAGCGUUGAAUGACAAAAUAAUGUCAUAAAUUUAUACUGACGAUUACAUAGCUAUAUAAAAUAUACCCAAGUAUAUUUUAUUGAAUAUGAAGAAAAUGAAACUUUUGAAAUAUUAGAAUUAUUUACAAAGUUUGGAUUCAUAUGUAAUUUCAUGACAUGUAAAGAAUGUGAAACUUCAAGGGGAAUAGUAUAAUUAAAAUUAAAAAUAAAAGACAAUAUUUGGAAUGUAAUAGGUCAAUACAACAUAAAAAGAUAAUAAGAAUAGAUUCGAUAUUUGAAUAUCUUGAAUUAGGAAUACCAGCUGUAAUGAAAUGUCUAAAUUUAUGGGCUUUGAAUAUUUUGCAUAGCAUAUAAGUUAAGUCUAAAUAAAAAUACAGUAUC